ACGACGCUGGCGGCGUGCCUAAUACAUGCAAGUCGAACGGUCUUUCUAUGGAAGCUUGCUUCCACUGAGAAGAUAGUGGCGAACGGGUGAGUAACACGUGGGUAACCUGCCCAUAAGAGGGGGAUAACAUCCGGAAACGGGUGCUAAUACCGCAUAGUUUUCUUGAUCGCAUGAUUGAGAAAGGAAAGACGGCCUUUGUGCUGUCGCUUAUGGAUGGACCCGCGGCGUAUUAGUUAGUUGGUGAGGUAACGGCUCACCAAGACGAUGAUACGUAGCCGACCUGAGAGGGUGAUCGGCCACAUUGGGACUGAGACACGGCCCAAACUCCUACGGGAGGCAGCAGUAGGGAAUCUUCCGCAAUGGACGAAAGUCUGACGGAGCAACGCCGCGUGAGUGAAGAAGGUUUUCGGAAUCGUAAAACUCUGUUGUCAGAGAAGAACAAGUUGGAGAGUAACUGCUCCAGCCUUGACGGUAUCUGACCAGAAAGCCACGGCUAACUACGUGCCAGCAGCAGC
rnacentral:rRNA from 1 species